rnacentral:lncRNA from 1 species
AGUGGAGGCCAAGCCUUCCCCAUGGGCACCUUCUCAGAUUGCGAUUGUGGAUGAAAUGAGGGAUUUUCUUGAAACAACCCUCACGCAGGUACCCCUUGGGCAGCCUUCAACCGCUCUGGGGAAGGAGGCCCCAGGCAUAGACAACUGCAGUAUAAAUAAUCAUCCCUACAGUGCUCUGUCAGGGCUGUAGGGGGGCACGGGACAGUAAGGGAGGAGGCUGAACUGCGCGAUUUUACCUGGCUUCUCCAGAAGGGUAAGGCGGCCAGUUGGACCCGGUCCUUGUGUUCGGAGAACAGAGUCACCCAGGCCUCGAACGCCUGCGAUGGUCGGCGUCUCUUCCCUAGGUGACGCAAGACGCGGAGCUCGGCUGCACGACGCUGGCGCAAGCGCGGGGGCAAGAGCGCCGGCCUCCGAGACGGUGAGAAAAUGGCUAGCAACAAUCAUUGGUUUCAGAGUUCGCAGGUCCCCAGCUUUGCCCAGAUGCUGAAAAAGAACCUGCCAGUUCAACCAGCGACAAAGACGAUAACUACACCCACAGG